CCUGCGGAAGGAUCAUUAAUGAAUUCACUAUGGAGUUGUUGCUGGCCUCUAGGGGCAUGUGCACGCUUCACUAGUCUUUCAACCACCUGUGAACUUUUGAUAGAUCUGUGAAGUCGUCUCUCAAGUCGUCAGACUUGGUUGCUGGGAUUUAAACGUCUCGGUGUGACUACGCAGUCUAUUUACUUACACACCCCAAAUGUAUGUCUACGAAUGUCAUUUAAUGGGCCUUGUGCCUUUAAACCAUAAUACAACUUUCAACAACGGAUCUCUUGGCUCUCGCAUCGAUGAAGAACGCAGCGAAAUGCGAUAAGUAAUGUGAAUUGCAGAAUUCAGUGAAUCAUCGAAUCUUUGAACGCACCUUGCGCCCCUUGGUAUUCCGAGGGGCAUGCCUGUUUGAGUGUCAUUAAAUUCUCAAACUCACUUUGGUUUUUUCCAAUUGUGAUGUUUGGAUUGUUGGGGGCUGCUGGCCUUGACAGGUCGGCUCCUCUUAAAUGCAUUAGCAGGACUUCUCAUUGCCUCUGCGCAUGAUGUGAUAAUUAUCACUCAUCAAUAGCACGCAUGAAUAGAGUCCAGCUCUCUAAUCGUCCGCAAGGACAAUUUGACAAUUUGACCUC
rnacentral:rRNA from 1 species